rnacentral:rRNA from 1 species
UACGUAGGGUGCAAGCGUUAAUCGGAAUUACUGGGCGUAAAGCGUGCGUAGACGGUUAUUUAAGUCAGGUGUGGAAGCCCAGGGCUCAACCUUGGAAUUGCAUUUGAGACUGAAUAGCUAGGGUGCGGAAGAGGGAAGCGGAAUUUCCGGUGUAGCGGUGAAAUGCGUAGAUAUCGGAAGGAACACCAGUGGCGAAAGCGGCUUCCUGGUCCAGCACCGACGUCAGGCACGAAAGCGUGGGGAGCAAACAGG